UAGAGGAAUUAGGGGUGGGAUCUAAUACACAAGAAGAGAGAUCCGGUGUCCUGAGGGGCAGUGCCCAGCCCCCUGCCUGCUGUGUGCCUGCACACCUUCAGCCCUCCGAGGGAGACCCGUGUGGAAAAGGAUGACAUCGAGCAAAGGGCAUAGGUGUGGGUAGUCCCUCUCCCUACAGCACAUCGCCGGCUGCUCUUAGCUCCCAAGUUUGAGAGCAGGAAGACUUGCUUCAGAUGGCUGGGGCACUGCGGUCCUCAGCCCUGCCUCAGAUGCACAGAAGAGUGUACAGAAGGAGAAAAGCACGACUCUCUUUCUGAAACAAGGCAUGAGUCCCAUGAGUAUAAAGGUGCCAAUAAGCAGAAUAUAUUUUAAAAAUGAGCUAUGGAGAGGAGGACUCUGGAAUAUUGGACAAAGGGAAUAAAGAAAUCCAUGGCUUAUAUGGUGGCCGGGGGGUGUGGCUGUGAUUUACAAGUGAGACAUUGGAUGAUACAUGCACAGGAAAUUAAAUGGUAGUGAAUGAACACUAAGCCUGGAAGAGAAAGUUGUAGACAAGCUGAGAGAAGCUGAGAGCUAAGCAAGCAGCGGAGGAGAUGUCCAUAUUUGCCGGACAAUUUGUGAGUCCUAAGUGGGAAAUCUAAGCCCCCUAGAAAUGUGAUUUCAGCCCAGACCACAGCUCCUGCCGCUAAUGAGAAUGGCCAUCCCAGGCAAUCUUGAACCCCUCUUGAAAGGAAAAAAACAAAACAAAACAAAACAAAACAAAAACCAAAAAACCCCUCUCACUUAUCUUUGGCCAGUUGCAGGGAGUCUUUGAGGAUUCCUGGAGAUUGAUCACUUGGAGGUUUGCCACUUUAUGCGCUGUGUCCAUAUCUAGAUCCUCAGAGUGAUGGAGGUCUAGAGACCAGAAUGUAGCUGGAACCCAAAAGGGUGGGAAAGGCAGCCUUGAGUCACAGAUGCCUGAGCCCUCAGGCUUGCAAGGGCUUGAAGGAUCCUGACUCGUGGAGCCCCACUGCAGUAGUCCUCAGGAGAAAGCCCUUGGCAGAGCAAGAAGCAGACAGGGCUUGGAUUUGAUAAUUCCAAGCUGUGUCUACGGUUGCCUGGAACCAGGAAGAAAGACAUAUUGCCUUCCUUGAGAAGGAAGCCGUAAUCUCUCCAAAUGGGAAGAGUGAGGCGAAG